GGGUGAGUAACGCGUAAGGAACUUACCUGCGGGACUGGGAUAACGGAGGGAAACUUCUGACAAGACCGGAUAAAGUUACUGGGCAGCAUUGUUUGGUAAUGAAAGGGAACGCCUGCGGAGAGUCUUGCGUCCUAUUAGCUAGUUGGUUGGGUAAUGGCUGACCAAGGCGAAGAUAGGUAGCCGGCCUGAGAGGGUGGACGGCCACAAGGGGACUGAGAUACGGCCCUUACUCC
rnacentral:rRNA from 1 species